UAGUUUGGCCAAAAAAACGUUUUAAAAAGUGUUAAAAAAUCGUCCAUUGUUGCGUCACUCGCGGGCACUGUGACGUAAAUUACGUCACGAUCUGUUCUAGUCGAUCAGCUGAUUUGUGUUUUGUUCGGCAGAGAUAAAUUUAUGUUUGCAGCAAAACACAGUGUACCAUCGACAUAGCGUUAUCUGGUUGUUUUAACUUAAGAAAUAUAUGUUAGGUAUUGCCUUUGCGUGAUUUUUAUUCAAAAUUAUUAUUUAUGAAAUAUUUGUUAGUAUAUUAACACAGUUGAAGUUUGUCAGUUCAAAAUAAACCUAAAAAUGACUGAUGUGAAGUAUUGUAUUCAUCUGCUGAAUCAGAAAGUGAUGUUAGCAAAGAAGGCGAAGAUCCUGACCUAUUAGCAAUAGGUAUUGAGCCUUUCAAAUUUGAACCUGUACUUCCAGCAAGUACUGUGGUGGAAGUGGACAGGCCAAGUUCACCCACCAGUAAAACAAGUGAUGCUGAGCGAACCAAAAGUAGGUGUAGCUGCUCUAACUGUGAUAUCAUGAAUACGGAACGAGAAUGUAUUUGUUGUAUGGAAAUUGAUGUUAUAAAAUUAAAAACAGAUGAAGCUCAAGUGCAUUGCAUUACUUUUCAUCCUGGAUUCACUGGAGUUUGUUUAAAUACACAUGUGUUGCAAAUGUCAUAUUUUGGAUACAGACAAGAGCAUGGAAUACAAAUAUACCGAAAUCAUUCUACAGUAAUGGAACAAUAUCGCUACACAGCCUAUCGAAACUUUGUUCGAUGGGUAUGGGAAUGGCUGGGUAAAGAAAACAGAAAGGUUCUUCCAUCAUGCGUAGUGAAAAGAAUAAGAGAACAAUUUAGUGAAAGUUCAACAACAUUUACAGGAUUUUUACCAUCGUUAUAAAACAUUCAGUUUUCAAUGAUUUGGUUUCAUACAAAAUGUGAUAUAGACGGAAGAAUCCAUUUGUUAAUAAAGUACACUCCAACAUCA